GAGUAGCUGGGACUGCAGGCGCCCGCCACCAUGCCUGGCUAAUUUUUUGUAUGUUUAGUAGAGACGGGGUUUCACCGUGUUAGCCAGGAUGGUCUCUAUCUCCUGACCUUGUGAUCUGCCUGCCUCGGCCUCCCGAAGUGCCGGGAUUACAAGCGUGAGCCACCAUUCCCGGCCCAAAGAGGAGAAGAAGUAUGAAGUGCUUGCUUGGACCUUUCUACUGUGCUUAUUAUUCUGUCUUCUCCUCAUGGCAAAUUUCUUUUUUAUUUUCAUUUAUUAAAUACAGAAGAAAUAUUUCGCUGAAGACACAGGAAACCCUAUUUUGUAUAAACGAGGGAUUGCAAGAGAUUGUUGGAAGAUCAAAGAUGGGUGAAUUGGAGGGGAAACGGGAAGGCUGGAACCAUGUCCAGCUGGGAUAAGGCUUCAGUCUCAUCCUGUGAUGAAGAAAUUUUCCCUGUAGAACAGGCCUUUGUUAUGGAGAAAAAUUAGCUCUUCCUGAGAACAAAAAGGAUUUAUGAAGGAAAAAGCAGCUAAUCAAAGAAGUUCUGAGUUUAAAUUCUGUUUUGUCCACUUACUAGCCAUUUGGCCUUGGGCAAGUCACUUUACUGGACCUCAGUUUCCUUGUAUGUGAAAGGUUUUGGUAAAAAUCAUAUUAGUUAAAGAAUGUAAAGAGUUUUAUAAAUUACAAAGUGAUUAAAAAAAGUAAAAUGUAUUGUUGUUUAGGAACAAUGAAAAAAAAAGAAACCUUGACAUUUUUUCUUCAAGUUCUUGCCUAAAAUGUUUAUUUGUUUGGCCCUUUUUAGAUUUAACAAAUUCUAUGUGUCUAAAUAUCAGUGUAGACCCCUUCUUACCCUACUGGAUUUAUAAGGUACUAAAAGUAGAUAUGCAUCUCUUCUGUCUUGGUUCGCUCUAAAAUGGGAUGUUUGCAAACCUCUUGGUUUUUCUUUUUUAAUAUGGAUGAAGCUUAUAUUAAUUUUUGGCUUGGUAUUAAAUUUUGUUUGGAAUAUUAUUAA
ensembl:lncRNA novel transcript